UUUAAAUUUUAAAUUUUUAAACUAAAUUAGUAUUAGCUAUGUUCUUGAAAAUUAAAAAUUUUGGCGGUAUUUUAAUCUUUUCAGAGGAACCUGUCCUGUAAUUGAUAGUCCACGUUUAAUUAAACUUAAUUUUUAAAUUUGUAUAUCAUCGUAAUUUGAAUAUUUUAAAAGAAUUUAAAUAUUCAAAAUUUAAAAUGUUAAAAUAAAUCAGAUCAAGAUGCAGUUUAUAAUUAAGAAGAGAUGGGUUACAUUAUUUUUAUAUUUGGAUUAUUAAUUUAAAAUUAAUAUGAAAUUGGAUUUGAAAGUAAUUUUGAAAAUAUAUUUAAAAUGAUUAAAGUUCUGAAAUAUG
rnacentral:rRNA from 1 species